UCCAUCUGAACCAUAGCAAAGCCACCCACAGCGUAAAGGGAGCCACCAUUGCUCACUAGGUUGACAGAGCUUCUCUCCUGAGGAAACUCUGUGAAGGGCUCCCACCUGAGGAGACACAACAUUAGGAGAAGUGAUGUUGGAGACCAGAGGGGGAGGGAUGUGCAGCUGACUGGAAGUUGUCUGCCAUGUGUGCCGAGCCGGGAAAAGUAUUACUGUGUGCCUGAUAAAAAGCUCAAACCGAACGGAAACGCAGUGUGUUGGGUCGGAAUUCUUUACAACCAGCCCUUUGUGGGAGACAACUGCAUGGCCGUGGAUCUUCAGAGGAAGCUUUUUGGUCUCGCUCCACCUCAUCUUCCUGAAGAAUGUGACAAUUGUCUUAAAAUGGAUGGAUGGUCACACCGCAGAAGUUACUACAAGAUGUUAAAAUGCCAAUUAAAAAAGGUAAUUACUGGUGUUUGAAUCAAUAUGAGUCUUAUUCCUGUUGCCUGAUAAAGUGAGGAGUGUGUAGAGUUAGGUAACAUUUCUCCCGUGGGCAGUGCUAAAGAUAGAUCAGACUAUGCCACUCUUCAAGGAGUGUCUAAUGUAAUUUAAGGAGAAGGAUAGAGCUGACUCUGCCACUUCCCUAAAGCCACAGGAGGUUA